rnacentral:rRNA from 1 species
GGAAUCUUCGGCAAUGGACGAAAGUCUGACCGAGCAACGCCGCGUGAGCGAAGAAGGCCUUCGGGUCGUAAAGCUCUGUUGUUAGAGAAGAACAUGGGUGAGAGUAACUGUUCACCCCUUGACGGUAUCUAACCAGAAAGCCACGGCUAACUACGUGCCAGCAGCCGCGGUAAUACGUAGGUGGCAAGCGUUGUCCGGAAUUAUUGGGCGUAAAGCGCGCGCAGGCGGUCUCUUAAGUCUGAUGUGAAAGCCCCCGGCUCAAUCGGGGAGGGUCAUUGGAAACUGGGAGACUUGAGGACAGAAGAGGAGAGUGGAAUUCCAAGUGUAGCGGUGAAAUGCGUAGAUAUUUGGAGGAACACCAGUGGCGAAGGCGGCUCUCUGGUCUGUUACUGACGCUGAGGCGCGAAAGCGUGGGGAGCAAACAGGAUUAGAUACCCGGG